UAUCCUGUCUGAAUAUGGGGGGACCAUCCUCCAAGGCUAAAUACUCCUGACUGACCGAUAGUGAACCAGUACCGUGAGGGAAAGGCGAAAAGAACCCCGGCGAGGGGAGUGAAAAAGAACCUGAAACCGUGUACGUACAAGCAGUGGGAGCACAGGUUUACCUGUGUGACUGCGUACCUUUUGUAUAAUGGGUCAGCGACUUAUAUUCUGUAGCAAGGUUAACCGAAUAGGGGAGCCGGAGGGAAACCGAGUCUUAAUUGGGCGUUAAGUUGCAGGGUAUAGACCCGAAACCCGGUGAUCUAGCCAUGGGCAGGUUGAAGGUUGGGUAACACUAACUGGAGGACCGAACCGACUAAUGUUGAAAAAUUAGCGGAUGACCUGUGGCUGGGGGUGAAAGGCCAAUCAAACCGGGAGAUAGCUGGUUCUCCCCGAAAGCUAUUUAGGUAGCGCCUCGUGAAUUCAUCUCCGGGGGUAGAGCACUGUUUCGGCUAGGGGGCCAUCCCGGCUUACCAACCCGAUGCAAACUGCGAAUACCGGAGAAUGUUAUCACGGGAGACACACGGCGGGUGCUAACGUCCGUCGUGAAGAGGGAAACAACCCAGACCGCCAGCUAAGGUCCCAAAGUCAUGGUUAAGUGGGAAACGAUGUGGGAAGGCCCAGACAGCCAGGAUGUUGGCUUAGAAGCAGCCAUCAUUUAAAGAAAGCGUAAUAGCUCACUGGUCGAGUCGGCCUGCGCGGAAGAUGUAACGGGGCUAAACCAUGCACCGAAGCUGCGGCAGCGACGCUUAUGCGUUGUUGGGUAGGGGAGCGUUCUGUAAGCCUGUGAAGGUGGCCUGUGAGGGUUGCUGGAGGUAUCAGAAGUGCGAAUGCUGACAUAAGUAACGAUAAAGCGGGUGAAAAGCCCGCUCGCCGGAAGACCAAGGGUUCCUGUCCAACGUUAAUCGGGGCAGGGUGAGUCGACCCCUAAGGCGAGGCCGAAAGGCGUAGUCGAUGGGAAACGGGUUAAUAUUCCCGUACUUGGUGUUACUGCGAAGGGGGGACGGAGAAGGCUAUGUUGGCCGGGCGACGGUUGUCCCGGUUUAAGCGUGUAGGUGUGUGUUCCAGGUAAAUCCGGUUCACUUUAACACUGAGGCGUGAUGACGAGGCACUACGGUGCUGAAGUAACAAAUGCCCUGCUUCCAGGAAAAGCCUCUAAGCAUCAGGUAACAUCAAAUCGUACCCCAAACCGACACAGGUGGUCAGGUAGAGAAUACCAAGGCGCUUGAGAGAACUCGGGUGAAGGAACUAGGCAAAAUGGUGCCGUAACUUCGGGAGAAGGCACGCUGACAC
rnacentral:rRNA from 1 species